AUUGAACGCUGGCGGCAGGCCUAACACAUGCAAGUCGAACGAGUGGCGGACGGGUGAGUAAUGUCUGGGAAACUGCCUGAUGGAGGGGGAUAACUACUGGAAACGGUAGCUAAUACCGCAUACCCUCGGAUGUGCCCCGUUUGGAUUAGCUAGUGGGUGGGGUAACGGCUCACCUAGGCGACGAUCCCUAGCUGGUCUGAGAGGAUGACCAGCCAGACUGGAACGGAGACACGGCCCCGACGCCUACGGGAGGCAGCAGUGGGGAAUAUUGCACAAUGGGCGCAAGCCUGAUGCACACAUGCCGCGUGCAUGAAGAAGGCCUGCGGGUUGUAAAGUACUUUCAUCGGGGAGGCGGUACCUGCAGAAGAAGCACCGGCUAACUCCGUGCCAGCAGCCGCGGUAAUAC
rnacentral:rRNA from 1 species